rnacentral:rRNA from 1 species
AUGUGGGCGGGGCCGGCAGUUGAGGGAGGCCCGCCGGGUGUAGCGGCAGGAGCAGUCCGGGAAUCACAUCGCAAGAGGCUGCCCUGGUUCGCUUUUUCUUUGUUGAUGAUCUUGAUGCAAGUUUCUUCUUGCGCUUACAGGUUCAGGAAGAAAAGCCCGAAGGGCCAGGAUGAUAGAGCAAUUCAGGUUAAACACUUCAAAAGUAUUCCGAUGGCAGAUAUGGAGUUGGUUCUGCCUAAGAAGAAAAACCUGAGCCUCACGCUAAUGGACUGGGUUCGGUUCAUUGUUUCUGUUGUUAUUGGGCUUAUCAAGGAGGUCAUAAUCGCAUACUAUAUAUUGAUGGAAAAUGGAAAGGUUACUGUUGAGGAUCUUGAUUUGCAAUGCGAGGAGCUAAUCCAGGAAGAGUUUGGUUUGCAAUGUAAUUUUGAGGAUUCUAUACGAAGAAUUGUUUGCGUUCCCCUAAAGCGAUCCGGUAGUGGGGUCUCACCGGAGGGUGUAAUGCCGGCCGUCGUCCAGAUUAAUUGA